AUUAAAAUUAAGUUUAAAUUUAAAAUUUCAAAUUUAAGCUUCUUGAGGGCAGAGACCAUGCUUUUGCUUUCUCUAUAUCACCAGGGCUUAACACAAUGCCAGCACAAAGUAUUAUUGCUUAAUAAAUGCUUGUUUGUUUCUUAUGCAGCCUGUGGAAAUUAGAUAAGGGUAGGAGGUGAGGAGGACACCACAGGAAUGAAUAUGACUCAGUAUUUUCCUGCCCUGGGUCUGAGAUCUUAUUAGUAACCGUCAUUUGCUCAAUGAAGUGAAUAAGGACACUAGAAAAGUGUCUAGGGGGCUUUCUCCAAUUAAGCAGAAGAAGCCUCAUCUGUCCAUUAGAUUAGAGAAUGAAGCCAGAGAUCACCCACCACCUUGAGAGUUUUGAAGUGCUCUAGGGAAAGAAGGAAAAGACUGUGUGCCAAGGGUACCAUUGGCUUUCAGUGUGAGAGGAAAAGCAAUAAAUUCUUCAGUCUGCUCCCUUCUCCUUAUUAUUGUGUGUCCUUCAUUCUGAAAGAAGACCAAUGACAUCAGGAAGAUGAUGUCUUGACUUGCAAGUGAAUUGAAUUUAAGUAAGGCAAGUCUGUGCAAAGUCGCCAGCCACCACCAUAAAGGUAUUCAGCAAUGCACGCUAAGCAAGUUUCCCGAAGUUGGUUUGAAUCUUCUAACCACGAAACAUCUUAGGAGCAUGGAACUCUGUCCCCUCCUCCUUCCCCACCCCCACUACCCCAUGGGAGCACACAUUUUUCCAGCCAGAUAAAGAAAGAAACAAAAUGGAGCGAGAGAGUCAGGGAGCCAAAGUUUUAUUAAGGACAUCUGAAUAUAACUGUCUAUGUGACUCUUUAAUUCCUCUCGAAGUUUCCAGAGCACAGGACAUAUGCUGGCCUAGCCUGGCUGUGCCAAUGGCAUUAACGUGGAGGACAUCAGAAGGAUGUUGGAUCCACUCCCAAACACAUCCUGAACCUCGCAGGCUGUGGGAAUGGAGAGUGUUUUCCAUGGACGCUCUGAGUUUUUGGAGUUAAUCAAGCAUUUUUAAUAGUCUCUUUGGGGAAACUGGUCUCUGUAUUUUUAAAACUUGCUAUUGUGUUCUGUUGUUAAGGUUUAAAUGGUCAUAAAGCAAGCAAAAAAUGAAAAGUGUGGUCCCUUAAAUUAACUCUCUAAAGGAAGAAAAGGAAAAAUGAGGACUGGGAGGAAACCAUAUAGGAGGCGUCUGAGAGUCCCCACAAAUUCUAAUAUGAUGCAGACACAAAGCAGGUCCGACCUAGGUCCUUCAUAAUAGGGCCAGAGCAUUAUGUAUGCUACCAUGCUGCCCAAGAAAGCUUAGGUUUGGGGUUUGGGGUUUUUUUGUUUGUUUUCUAAGCAGAACUCCAGAAUGAAAGGAUCCAUUUCUUUUUUUUCAAACUAGAAGAGAAGCUUAAAUUCAGCAAAGAAGAAUCUAGAAGAGAUGAGCCAUGGGUAGCAUAAUCAGACAGCCUGAGGCUUGAUAGGGUCCCACCACAAAAGUGAAAGGAGCACUGGACUGGCCACCAGAGGACCUGAGUCUGUAACUUAAGCAAGUGACUGAACCUCCCUGUGCCUGGUUUUCUCUUCUAUACAAUGAAGGGGGGUGGUGGCGUGGAACUAAAUGGCUUCUGAAGUCCCUUCUAGCUCUAUAGCAAUGAUCUUAAAUCUACAAGAUUAUCC
ensembl:lncRNA